GAUGAACGCUGGCGGCGUGCCUAAUACAUGCAAGUCGAGCGAACAGACGAGGAGCUUGCUCCCCUGACGUUAGCGGCGGACGGGUGAGUAACACGUGGAUAACCUACCUAUAAGACUGGGAUAACUUCGGGAAACCGGAGCUCAUACCGGAUAAUAUAUUGAACCGCAUGGUUCAAUAGUGAAAGACGGUUUUGCUGUCACUUAUAGAUGGAUCCGCGCCGCAUUAGCUAGUUGGUAAGGUAACGGCUUACCAAGGCGACGAUGCGUAGCCGACCUGAGAGGGUGAUCGGCCACACUGGAACUGAGACACGGUCCAGACUCCUACGGGAGGCAGCAGUAGGGAAUCUUCCGCAAUGGGCGAAAGCCUGACGGAGCAACGCCGCGUGAGUGAUGAAGGUCUUCGGAUCGUAAAACUCUGUUAUUAGGGAAGAACAAAUGUGUAAGUAACUAUGCACGUCUUGACGGUACCUAAUCAGAAAGCCACGGCUAACUACGUG
rnacentral:rRNA from 1 species